UCCAAUAAAAUUUAGUAAAUUUAUUACUUUCUUAUAAAAUUAUUGAAAUUAACUAUUAGUUAUGUUUUUUUUACGAAAAGGGCAAUAGCCCGAUCAAUGUAUUAAUGAUGAAUCAAUGAUGAUUAUAAGAAGUUCAAACACAUUAAUGAGUCUAAAUGGAAGGUGUAAACUCACAAACGAAGAUAUAUGGAGCAACGGUCGUUAUCAGAAGCAUAACUAGACCCUUUUCCUUACUCUCCUAACAAAUUAACACCAAAACCAGCUAAUCUAGACACUUGAAAAAAUCCAAAAUCAAACAAAAAUAGAUAAAAUCAUCUGAAAUGAAAAGCAACCAAAAUGGAAAACAAAAUCCGAACAAGCCGAGUCUAUUAAUCGAAAGAAAGAAAUUGAGGUAGAAAACUGUGGUCGUCGACUGUUGUCUGCAUAAGGUGACUCGCCUCCACAGUGUCGUUGUGAUUUAUGCCAAUGGGCAGACCGCUGAAGGCUGACCUACCUAUACCCCGGUUGUGACGCCAGAGCGAUUCAUCUUGGAGGAUUUCGAUGAUUUGUGACCGGCGGUAUUAUCAGUGUCAUGGCGCAACGGCUGCUUAUCGUCCUAGAUGUGCGUCUCUUCGUCGUCGCUUUCCUCCAAGGAUAGGUCCAUGAAUGAACGUGCAAGGAGGUUGUAUGACAGCGGCUUCAGAUCUGAAUAUGAGGCGUUAUGGUCGGCAGAUCCGAGCUAAUGGGCGGUGGAGAAGCGAGUGGAAGCGAGCGUGGAAGCGGCAGAUCUAAGCUGAUGGGCGAUGGAGAUGGUGAGUGGAAGCGCGAGUGGAAACGGCGGAUAUGAGCUGAUGGGCGAUGGAGAUGGUGUGUGGAAUCUGCGGAUCUGGGCUAGUGGGCAAUAGAGGUGGCGAGUGGAGGCGGCGGACCGAGUGGUUGGGCAAUGGAGGCACCGAACCGUGCUGUUGGGUGAGUGGAUACGAUGGGCCGAGAGCUACUAGGCGACGGAGGUGGUGAGUGAAAUUGAUGGAGAACCCUUAAACAUUAGGGAGAAAAGAAAACCCUUAAAUAUUAGGGAAGGAAAAUCCUAAAUUACCUAGUCUAGCUCUUUUGUUCUUGCAACUAUUUUUUCUUACAAUGACAAAACUUCUUAUUAAGCAUAUAACUAGAAUCGUGCAAACUUAGUGUUUGAGAGUCUCUGCCCAUAUUUG
rnacentral:lncRNA from 1 species